rnacentral:rRNA from 1 species
AUUGAACGCUGGCGGCAGGCCUAACACAUCCAAGUCGAGCGGACGAACGGAGCUUUUUCUUGGCUUCAGUUGCGGACGGGCGAGUAAUGCCUAGGAAACUGCCCGGCCGAUGGGGAUAACGUCAGGACACGGGCGCUAAUACAGUAUACGGCCUGAGGUUGAACGUGGUGGAUCUUCAGAGCUAACGCUAUUUGAUGAGCCUAGGACGGAUUAGCUAGUUGGUGAGGUAAAGGCCUACCAAGGCGACGAUCCGUAACUGGUCUGAGAGGCUGAUCAGUCAUACUGGAACUGAGACACGGUCCAGACUCCUACGGGAGGCAGCAGUAGGGAAUAUUCGACAAUGGGCGAAAGCCUGAUGCAGCCAUGCCGCGUGUGUGAAGAAGGUCUUCGGAUUGUAAAACACUUUAAGUAGGGAGGAAGAACAGUGAGUUAAUAUCUGGCUGUUUUGACGGUACCAACAGAGUAAGCACCGGCUAACUUCGUG